rnacentral:rRNA from 1 species
AUUGAACGCUGGCGGCAGGCCUAACACAUGCAAGUCGAACGAGUGGCGGACGUGUGAGUAAUGUCUGGGCAACUGCCUGAUGGAUGGGGUUAACUACUGUACACGGUAGCUUAUACCGCAUACCCUCAGAUCUGCCCAGAUGGGAUUAGCUAGUGGGUGGGGUAACGGCUCACCAAGGCGACGAUCCCUAGCUGGUCUGAGAGGAUGCCCAGCAACACUGGAACUGAGACACGGUCCAGACUCCUACGGGAGGCAGCAGUGGGGAAUAUUGCACAAGGGGCGCAAGCCUGAUGCAGCCAUGCCGCGUGGAUGAAGAAGGCCUUCGGGUUGUAAAGUACUUUCAGCGGGGAGGCGUUACCCGCAGAAGAAGCACCGGCUAACUCCGUGCCAGCAGCCGCGGUAAUAC